AUUGAACGCUGGCGGCAGGCUUAACACAUGCAAGUCGAGCGGAGAUGAGGUGCUUGCACCUUAUCUUAGCGGCGGACGGGUGAGUAAUGCUUAGGAAUCUGCCUAUUAGUGGGGGACAACAUUCCGAAAGGAAUGCUAAUACCGCAUACGUCCUACGGGAGAAAGCAGGGGAUCUUCGGACCUCGCGCUAAUAGAUGAGCCUAAGUCGGAUUAGCUAGUUGGUGGGGUAAAGGCCUACCAAGGCGACGAUCUGUAGCGGGUCUGAGAGGAUGAUCCGCCACACUGGGACUGAGACACGGCCCAGACUCCUACAGGAGGCAGCAGUGGGGAAUAUUGGACAAUGGGGGGAACCCUGAUCCAGCCAUGCCGCGUGUGUGAAGAAGGCCUUAUGGUUGUAAAGCACUUUAAGCGAGGAGGAGGCUACUGAGACUAAUACUCUUGGAUAGUGGACGUUACUCGCAGAAUAAGCACCGGCUAACUCUGUGCCAGCAGCCGCAGUAACAC
rnacentral:rRNA from 1 species